rfam:Trichobilharzia regenti genome assembly, scaffold: TRE_scaffold0000972
GUACUGCUGAAGAGUCUCAAACAAGGGUGACGAAACAGUUGUCCAGUAC